ensembl:lncRNA
AGAAAUUCAGAGAAAACUAAAAAAGUCAGUUCUCAUCAGUGCAGUGGAAACUUGUCAGAGCUCAGCUGUUUCCUUUUGAGCACAGAAGAUGCUAUGCCCCAGCCAUGGCCAAGUGAGUGGCAGACCUAACUCCUAUGAUCACAAGAUGUAUCAUCUCCAAGGCACUGGUUAUGGCUUCUCAUUCGCCCUGGCUUGCAUUCCAGACCAUGAUGAAUUGGAAGUAUGUUCCAGUGAACGUAAUGCAUCAGAUGCAAAACUGUUCUGGAGGCCCCAACACAAGGAGAGUGGAUUCAGAGGAAGGCCACAAAGAUGAUCAGAGGGCUGGAGCACCUCCCCUACAAGGACAGGCUGAGAGAGAUGGGGCUCUUCAGCCUGGAAAAGAGAAGGCUUUGAAUACUUUUUAUAAGGCAUUUUUCAAGGAAUUAGAUACAGAAGGUUGCUGAAAAAUGUGUGUACAUGAGAUGUACAAGUUAUCUGCUAAUCUACUUGCAGUCUAAAAGUGGUCAUUCUGUGGAAUAGAAUGCUGAUUUUUUGAGGGAAUCUGUGUCCUCAGUUUACAAGUCAAAACUGAGACACAGCUUUUCUUUUAAAUUAUUUCACAAUGAAACUUUAUUAUUUGUAUGUGAGGAGCUAAUUAGAAAGCAUCAACAUAGAGGAACUAGAAAACUCUUUUGCUCUGGAGUUCUUGUAAUGAAACUAAGUUCCAAAGACAACUUACCUUCCUCGAUCUCCUGUCCAUUAUUCAUUCACACACGCAAUCCAAACAGAUGCCAUAUUAUUUUUACCAUAGAAAAUUAUGGCUUGUCAAGCUGCACCUGGAACAAGAAUCUGAUCUUGAAAUCUGCACUAUAGAAGAUCUGCAGCUCUGUAGAGCAAAAAUAGACAAUAGUUCUGUUACUUCAGAAUCAAGCAGCAUCUAUCCAAGUACUGUUUUACCAUUUUGGUUGGUAAAGGUAUGACAUUUGAUGGUUUUAGAAUUUUCAUUAAUGAGUUUCUAACUGAGAACUAUUUUUCCAAGUGAAGAACAAUGGAGGCAUGGAAAGGAACCUGUAAAAAAUUAACAGGAAUAAGGUGUUUUCUCUAAAAACUACUUUAAGCAUUUUGGGUGUAUGCUCAAAGUCAUCAGUAGAAACGUACAGAUGGACCAAAUCCAUGUCUCACUGAUGGUACUUCCCAUUACUCUACUAAAAUUUUGUGUUGCCACUGCCUACUAUCAGGACAAUUUUAUCAAUAUUUACUUGAUAGAAAUGUACACCAGAUAACUUUUCAAGGCAGUCAGAGACCUCUUUUCCCUUCUGUUCAGCCACUUAGCCCAGCUGCUGUUUUAGCAAUUCUUCCUAGACAGGUUUUGGCAAGACAAAAGCAGUGGUGAGUGCACUACAAAGAACAAAAACAGCAAAUGUACAACAUUACACCGGAAGAGCUGCAGAACUAGUGAAAGUGCUGGUCUGAAAAGUCUUUGCAAUUACAAAACUUUGUCCACUCGAGGGAGGACCAUGAGAGGGAUAUGAUGUUACAGAAAUAGAAAUCAUCAUUUUUUUUUUUCUGGACAGAAGAGUUAAAUGUUCUUAUGUGCUUGUUUGCUUACUUGUUUUAAUGUUGCAAGGUAACCUGUAAAGUUUUGAAGACACUGAGUUCCAUGACAAUUAGAACAGUGAAUCUAAUUAAAAAAAAAAAAAAAAAAGCUGUUCUUUGCUACAGAACUUUUCACUGUUUGUGAUUUCCAUGAUUUCUAAGAUGGAAUUUCUGUUAUGAAUUUGUUUUUGCUGUGAAUUAUUUUCUACUUAUCUUUUUUGCAGUAAAUACAGUGUAUUUAAUAAUGAAUGCAG